rnacentral:misc_RNA from 1 species
UGGUUCUCGCAUCGAUGAAGAACGCAGCGAAAUGCGAUAAGUAAUGUGAAUUGCAGAGUCCAGUGAAUCAUCGAAUCUUUGAACGCACAUUGCGCCCCCUGGCACUCCGGGGGGCACGCCUGUCUGAGAGUCAUCGCAACCAAACUCGGGCCACCUGCGUCCGGUCCUGGGGACGGUCGGCCACCCGGCCGGCCGCCCCGAAAUCCAGCGGACUCCGUGGAGAGAGGGGCGCGUCUUGAUCAGCCAGCACGCGAAGACCCGCACUCCCGGCAAGUCCGGUGACCCACCCGUCCCGGGUGGGCGGAACCCACAGGCUUGACCUCAGAUCAGGUGGGGAUACCCGCUGA